GACGGCUUCAAUCUAAUGAUACUUGUUUGGUGUCUUCUCUGGAAUGGUUGCUUGUAGGUUUUUUUGGCGGGUGUAAAUACUUUCCAACCAGUUCAAUGUUAGUUUUUAAACAACGGACCUGUAUACAGAACCAUUGACCUUCUCUUCCACUCAGCAGCCACUCGGUUGCUGAACACAACGAGCCCGAUGAAACCCUUGAAUGACAUUGCAGCGACGCCAGUCCACUUGGUGGCGAUGGAACGAAAAAAAGGUUUUCUGCUGACGACGGCAGAUCCAAACAAUCUCUUGAGUCAUCCCAGGAAAAACUACCCUACACGACUUUGACUUAUUGCUGAUGACGGCGAAGAUUCCGGGCCCCUCU
ensembl:lncRNA